GACGAACGCUGGCGGCGUGCUUAACACAUGCAAGUCGAACGGAAAGGCCCUGCUUUUGUGGGGUGCUCGAGUGGCGAACGGGUGAGUAACACGUGAGUAACCUGCCCUUGACUUUGGGAUAACUUCAGGAAACUGGGGCUAAUACCGGAUAGGAGCUCCUGCUGCAUGGUGGGGGUUGGAAAGUUUCGGCGGUUGGGGAUGGACUCGCGGCUUAUCAGCUUGUUGGUGAGGUAGUGGCUUACCAAGGCUUUGACGGGUAGCCGGCCUGAGAGGGUGACCGGGCACCUUGGGACUGAGAGACGGACCAGACGCCUACGGGAGGCAGCAGUGGGGAAUAUUGCACAAUGGGCGGAAGCCUGAUGCAGCAACGCCGGGUGCGGGAUGACGUGCUUCGGGUUGUAAACCGCUUUGGCCUGUGACGAAGCGUGAGUGACGGUAACGGGUAAAGAAGCACCGGCUAACUACGUG
rnacentral:rRNA from 1 species